AUUCAAAUUAUAUGACCAGUAUAUGGUGAAGCAGCACUAAUUGGGAUGGUGGCAUUUAUAAAUAAUAAUUUAUCAACUGAGACAUGUUAGUUCAGUCUAAAAAAAAAAAACUUGUGUCUCUUGGCAGUUUUCAACUCUUCGCUUUGCCACCAGAAUGAAAUGUGUGCAGACAAAGCCAUCAAUAAUGUCGAACCAGUGCUUCAGAUGCAAAGACUAGAGAAAGAAAUCAAGUUUCUUAAGGAGGAGUGGUCAAUGUAUAACACACUGAGAUUCUCUAUGGGGUUCAGGUCUGGGGAGUUUGC